CAAAAGUAGGGAAGCAUCCGAUUCCAGCUGCCGAGAAAAGCCGCUAUUGUAUACCAUGUGCCCGUACCGUAAACCGACACAGGUGGGUGAGGAGAGAAUCCUAAGGCCGGCGGGAGAAGCAUUGUUAAGGAACUCGGCAAAAUGACCCCGUAACUUCGGGAUAAGGGGUGCCAGAGAGAUCUGGCCGCAGAGAAUAGGCUCAAGCAACUGUUUAGCAAAAACACAGGUCUAUGCGAAACCGUAAGGUGAUGUAUAUGGGCUGACGCCUGCCCGGUGCUGGAAGGUUAAGAGGAGAGGUUAGAGCAAUCGAAGCUUUGAAUUGAAGCCCCAGUAAACGGCGGCCGUAACGAUAACGGUCCUAAGGUAGCGAAAUUCCUUGUCGGGUAAGUUCCGACCCGCACGAAAGGCGUAAUGAUUUGAGCGCUGUCUCGACAAUGCACCCGGUGAAAUUGAAAUACCAGUGAAGAUGCUGGUUACCUGCGCCAGGACGGAAAGACCCCAUGGAGCUUUACUCCAGCUUGAUACUGGGAUUCGGUAAUGCAUGCACAGGAUAGGUGGGAGGCUACGAGUACGGAACUCCGGUUUCGUAUGAGCCGCUGUUGGGAUACCACCCUUGCGUUACUGGGUUUCUAACCAUGGCCCGUGAUCCGGGUCGGGGACAAUGUCAGGUGGGGAGUUUGACUGGGGCGGUCGCCUCCGAAAGGGUAUCGGAGGCGCUCAAAGGUUCCCUCAGAAUGGUUGGAAACCAUUCGAAGAGUGCAAAGGCAGAAGGGAGCUUGACUGCGAGACCGACGGGUCGAGCAGGUAGGAAACUAGGACUUAGUGAUCCGGUGGUAUGAAAGUGGGAUUGCCAUCGCUCAACGGAUAAAAGCUACCCUGGGAUAACAGGCUUAUCACUCCCAAGAGUUCACAUCGACGGAGUGGUUUGGCACCUCGAUGUCGGCUCAUCGCAUCCUGGGGCUGAAGUAGGUCCCAAGGGUUGGGCUGUUCGCCCAUUAAAGCGGUACGCGAGCUGGGUUCAGAACGUCGUGAGACAGUUCGGUCCCUAUCCGGCGCAGGCGGAGGAUAUUUGAGAGGAGCUGUCCUUAGUACGAGAGGACCGGGAUGGACGGACCGCUGGUGUACCGGUUGAGCUGCUAAGCUCAUGGCCGGGUAGCCAAGUCUGGCAGGGAUAAACGCUGAAGGCAUCUAAGCGUGAAGCCCCCCUCAAGAUGAGAUAUCCCAUUCGAAAGAAGUAAGACCCCUUGAAGACGACGAGGUAGAUAGGGCAGAGGUGGAAGUGCAGUAAUGUAUGGAGCUGACUGUUACUAAUCGGUCGAGGGCUUACC
rnacentral:rRNA from 1 species